CCGUACCUUCCCCCACCCCCAGCCACCACCGGUCGUCGCCUCUCCUCUCCCCCCCCGCCGCCCGGAUCAGGAACGAUCGCACCGUGCGGCCGCCUCCCGCCCCGCGCGCGGAUCAUCCUACCAUGCUGAGGCGCUGCGCCCCAUACCGACCCCACAGGGCCGCCGCCGCACCGCGCCUCCCGAUCCCCGGCGGCCACCCCUACCUCGCCGUCCUCUCCUUCCUCUUCAUCCCGACCUAAGCUCCAAGCCUCGCCGACAGGCCGGCCCUCGCCUGGUGUCUCUCUCGGCGCCGAGCUGCCUGCCUGCCUGCCUGGUGGAAUCGUCAGCCGCUCCAAUCGACCCCGCGAUGAGCGAGGAGGAGGCGCAGAGGUACGGCGGCGGGACCGGCGGCGGGGGCGUCGGGGCGCUGUCCGUGGAUCUGCUGGGCCAGGUGCUCGACCGCGUGCUGGAGCGGCGGGACCGCAAGGCUUGCCGCCUCGUCAGCCGCGCCUUCGCGCGCGCCGAGGCCGCGCACCGCCGGGUUCUGCGGGUGCUCCGCCGGGAGCCGCUCCCUCGCCUACUCCGCGCCUUCCCUGCGCUCGAGCGGCUCGAUCUCUCAGCCUGCGCCUCGCUCGACGACGCGUCUCUUGCAGCCGCUUUGGCCGGCGCGGACCUCGGCACCGUCCGACAGGUCUGCCUGGCGCGGGCCAGCGGAGUGGGCUGGCGCGGGCUGGAAGCCCUGGUGGCCGCCUGCCCCAGGCUCGAGGCAGUCGAUCUGUCGCACUGCGUCGGUGCUGGGGAUAGGGAGGCUGCCGCGCUGGCCACGGCUUCCGGGCUGAGGGAGCUGAAUCUGGAAAAGUGCCUGGGCGUCACUGACAUGGGACUCGCCAAGGUAGCCGUGGGGUGCCCCAGACUGGAGAAUCUGAGCUUCAAGUGGUGCCGUGAAAUCUCUGACAUCGGUGUCGAUCUGCUUGUGAAGAAGUGCCGUGAGCUCCGCAGCCUUAACAUCUCAUACCUAAAGGUGAGCAAUGAGUCCCUUAGAUCAAUAUCGACACUUGAGAAGCUUGAGGAGUUGGCCAUGGUUGCUUGCUCAUGUAUAGACGAUGAAGGCCUGGAAUUGCUUAGCAGAGGAAGUAACUCAUUGCAGAGUGUUGAUGUGUCAAGAUGUGAUCAUGUGACUUCCCAGGGGUUAGCUUCACUGAUAGAUGGUCACAGUUUUCUCCAGAAGCUAUAUGCCGCAGAUAGUUUGCAUGAGAUUGGACAGCAUUUUCUAUCCAAGUUAGUAACACUGAAGGCAACCUUGACCGUGUUGAGACUUGACGGCUUUGAAGUGUCAUGCUCUCUUCUUUCAGCGAUUGGUGAAGGUUGUACCAACUUGGUUGAGAUUGGACUAAGCAAAUGCAACGGCGUUACAGAUGAAGGCAUCUCUUCGCUUGUAGCUUGCUGCAGCUACCUAAGGACAAUUGAUCUCACAUGCUGCAAUCUAGUCACAAACAAUUCCCUUGAUUCAAUAGCUGACAACUGUAAGCUGCUUGAAUGCCUCCGGUUGGAGUCCUGCUCUUCAAUAAACGAGAAAGGACUAGAGAGAAUUGCGAGCUGUUGCCCCAAUCUAAAGGAGAUAGAUCUCACUGAUUGUGGAGUGAAUGACGAAGCGUUGCAUCAUUUGGCAAAGUGCUCUGAACUACUGAUAUUGAAAUUAGGCCUGAGCUCAAGUAUUUCGGACAAAGGCCUUGGUUUUAUUAGUUCAAAGUGUGGAAAGCUCAUUGAACUUGACCUCUAUCGCUGCAGUUCUAUCACCGACGAUGGGCUGGCAGCCUUAGCCAACGGCUGCAAGAAAAUUAAGCUGCUGAACCUUUGUUACUGCAACAAGAUAACUGAUAGUGGUUUGAGCCACCUGGGCGCUCUGGAGGAGCUCACAAACCUUGAACUGAGAUGCCUGGUCCGCAUUACAGGCAUCGGAAUUUCUUCUGUUGUCAUUGGCUGUAAGAGCCUGGUAGAACUUGACUUGAAGCGCUGCUAUUCUGUCGAUGAUUCUGGCCUAUGGGCUCUUGCCCGAUAUGCGCUAAACCUUAGACAGCUUACCAUAUCAUACUGCCAAGUUACUGGCCUAGGCUUGUGCCACCUGCUUAGCUCCCUGAGGUGCCUCCAGGACGUGAAGAUGGUGCACCUCUCAUGGGUUUCCAUAGAAGGGUUCGAGAUGGCUCUGAGAGCCGCUUGCGGGAGGCUGAAGAAGCUGAAGAUACUCAGUGGUUUGAAGACCGUGUUAUCCCCUGAUCUGCUCCAGCUGCUGCAAGCCUGCGGCUGCCGCAUCAGAUGGGUCAACAAGCCUCUUGUCUACAAGGAUGCCAUCUGAUCUGAGCUGUACAUAUUGUUCAUCCGUUCCCCAAGUUUGUCAUGGCUGCGUAGCUAUGUUAGAAAAUCCACAAUAACUGCAUGCCUUGUCAAUGCCAUCCCCGAGGUGUGGUCAAAGAUUAUGUUUGUGUUUGAACACCUUCUCGGCGUUCAGUGAUGGUGAGUAAACAUGGCAUCUGCUGUCGAAUACUCCCUCCGUAUAAAAUUAUAAGACAUUUUUCUAGGCUAGUUUAGCCUACAAAAGCAUCUUACAUUUUGGUACAGAGGUAUUAUAUCGUAUGUAUAGUGAAGCUCUUUUGCAUAAUGGAGUUGUGCAAGUGGUGUACAGAGACGUAAAGAAUGUAAAAGAGGGAGCCGAAAGUAGUUUGAUCUUUUAUGUUGUAUAUAUACUGCCUCUCUUGGUUCUAUCAGUCACUUGUUGACAUAUCCCAUGAGGAAAAGAAUAUAAUGCCAAAUGUGAAGCAUAAUCGGUGAAUGCUGAUGUAUCUUUUU
rnacentral:rRNA from 1 species